AUACGUAGGGGGCAAGCGUUGUCCGGAAUUAUUGGGCGUAAAGCGCGCGCAGGCGGUUCUUUAAGUCUUGUGUUUAAGGCCGGGGCUCAACCCUGGUUCGCAUGGGAAACUGGAGGACUGGAGUGCAGGAGAGGAAAGCGGAGUUCCACGUGUAGCGGUGAAAUGCGUAGAGAUGUGGAGGAACACCAGUGGCGAAGGCGGCUUUCUGGCCUGUAACUGACGCUGAGGCGCGAAAGCGUGGGGAGCAAACAGGAUUAGAUACCCUGGUAGUCCACGCCGUAAACGAUGAGUGCUGGGUGUCGGAGGAGUCAUCCUUCGGUGCCGAAGUCAACACAGUAAGCACUCCGCCUGGGGAGUACGCUCGCAAGAGUGAA
rnacentral:rRNA from 1 species